GCCAUUGAAUACGUUGACCUUGGUAAUGUUUCGGUUGUGGAGCUAUGUAGUGCAGGAAAGCAGAAAGUGAACAAUUCUUGUGAAACACCAAAUAGUUCUUGCCAAAAGGACAUCGACAGCCGUGGACGAGAAUGGAAUGAAGUUUUUUCGGAUAGCACGUCAACUCAGGAUUGUGACGAGGGAUUUAGAGGUUACGUGAGCCGUCUUUGUGAUUUGAAUGGACAAUGGCAGUACCCACAGUACAACUGUCUAAGAGCUGCUGUAAGCGAUGCUGUUAAUCAGACAUAUUCUCUGACUGGAAACGCUACAUCGGCCGAUGUUAUCACAGCUUUGUCAGCAGUUGCUAACGUUACAGAAUAUAAAGAAAAUCGGACCUCGUCAGAGCUGCUCACUUACAAAG